GCCCCCGUAGCUCAGUUGGAUAGAGCACUCGUUUCCUAAAUGAGGGGUCGCAGGUUCGAACCCUGCCGGGGGCA
rnacentral:tRNA from 1 species